CGGAUCGCCUCCGGAGCCUUCGGGCGCCGGAGAAAAGGUAGCUUCGGCUUCCGGCUGAGGAUGAGCCCGCGGCGGAUUAGCUUGUUGGCGGGGUAACGGCCCACCAAGGCGACGAUCCGUAGCUGGUCUGAGAGGACGAUCAGCCACACUGGGACUGAGACACGGCCCAGACUCCUACGGGAGGCAGCAGUGGGGAAUCUUGCGCAAUGGGCGAAAGCCUGACGCAGCGACGCCGCGUGCGGGAAGAAGGCCUUCGGGUUGUAAACCGCUUUCAGGAGGGACGAAGCCACUCGGGUUAAUAGCCCAGAGGGUGACGGUACCUCCAGAAGAAGCCCCGGCUAACUACGUGCAGCAGCCGCGGUAAUACGUA
rnacentral:rRNA from 1 species